CAAAGGCUUCUUGUGAAGCAAAGUAAAGUAUGAAGAUAGAAUACUCAGCGCAGGCCUACAUAAGAAAUGUGGGUUCCAUCCCCUCUUCCUUUAAGAGACAGCAGCUACUUUGAUGUUGGAAGAAGAAGUGAAUAGUGAAAGAUGAAUAGUUGGACCUUACCAUACUGGGGCACAGUAGUCACAGUCCACUUUUCAUGGCUUUGCUGCAUUGCAAAAUGGCAAGAGGUUGGCUUCUGAACGUCUUGGAAAUACCAUCCAAUUCUGUAAAUGUUUCUACCAUAAUAUGAGUGAGUUGUGAGGAGGGACAGACUGAAUGGACUACACUUCCAGGGUUGAUUGACUACAUAGCAGACUGGGCAGUAUUUUCAACCAAUCUUUCUGCAAAGGCUAUUCUAUUCACUUGAAAACCCACUGGAGCCAACUGAUUACCACCAACUACUCCUCAACUCCGCCAAGACUACUUCAAGAAGGAGGUGCUGAAAGAACCAUUACUUAUCAACAAGGAUGGAUUAUCGUCUACCUCGACAUGGAUCUCACUAAAAAAACAAAACAAAGAAAAAACAAAAAAACACCUACUGAUACUGAUACUGUUCCAGUCAGAAGAACUGGCUAGAACAGAGUCAAUGAUUCAAAAAACUGGAGGCAGUACACUGGACUAUUUAAAGGAUAGAAGGUCUGUGGGGAAUCACCACACUGUCUUCUACAAUGAGAACCCUGAUUUUCUAUAUCUGGACAAAAGACUAGGACAUAAGAAAGAGAAGUUUAGUGGAAGGAACUAACUGAGGGAGAGACAUUGCACAGCAGACAAGGACAAAUAACAGGAGGGUGGAAACAAGGGUAAGUGAACUUGCCAAAGAAAUAGGCUCAAUAGGAAAGAAUUGUUAUGUGGGUAUGCUUAUGACUUUUAAGCAUUUGACUUGCAAUAAGUGUGGUUACUGUUUCUAAUGGAAAAUGGCAGACACUAAAAACACUGAAGAUCAGCUAUGAAGGUGAGCAGUGAUAUUAAAACAACACAGGGUUUGGUGUCAGAUAAAGAAAGUGACAUUUAUAAUGAUUUUUAUCUGCAAAAUGGCUCUAACAAUAGUGCCCAGCUCAAUGGAUUGUUAAAAGGCUUAAAUGAGAUAUGAUAAGGUGCCCAGCAUAAUGCUUGACAAAUAGGAUGCAGAAAAACCUAAUCUUUACUUGGGGGUAUUCAGAAAUUCUCUACAUUUAGAUGUCUUCCCAGAUCUCAUAUGACCUUGAAAUAAAACUCCAUCUUCCUGGAUAUAGAAAGUAAGGCUAGAUGUAAGGCUUUGGGGUUAAAAUAGGCUUGAACUUGAAUCACUUUUACACCUCUAGCUGCUUGAUACACCUCAGGCAAUACCUCGAUCUAACUCACAGGAUCAAAUGAGGUAAUACACACAUUAAAAGACUUAACACAUGGUUUUCACUUAGAGAAUCUUUGUUCCUUUCUCCUUGACUCUUUGUAUUUUUGAAGUGUCUUAAAUAGCUUUAAUAGGAUUUUUUAAAAGUUAGAAUUACUUUUGCUCAUGAUAAAGAUCUGACAUAUUUUUAAGUGGAAGAUUACUUCAAGUAUUUUUAAUUAGCUUUUUUUAAAAACCACAGAUUUUGAAUUUAUAACAACCUUUAUCUCUGUUUUCAAAUAUAUUCCAUCUUUUCACCUCAGAUUUGUUUGACAGCCUAAUAUUUGUGUGUAUGUGUGUAUACAUACAUGCACACAAAUACAUAAAUUCAAGGGCAAAGAAAGUACUUUUGUUAGCUUAUUGAGGUAUAAUUUAUAUAUAAAAUCCAUCAAUUUUCAGUACCUAUACAAUUCAAUAAAUUUUGACAAUUGUAUAAAGUCAUACAACCACGGGCACUAUGGUGUUAUAAAAUAUUUUCAGCACUCCAAUAUGCCUCCUGG
ensembl:lncRNA